rfam:Triticum aestivum genome assembly, contig: Triticum_aestivum_CS42_TGACv1_scaffold_094523_2AL
AUUCUACUCCCUCCGUUGCACAAUACAUGCCUUCUAUUUGUCAAAAUAUAUAUGUAUCUAGACAUGUCUUAGUAUAUAGGUACAUCCAUUUUUGGACAAAUGGAAGUCAAGUAUUUUGGAAUGGAGGGAGUACACA